CAUGCAUUGAUAAAGGAUUUUUUUCAAGAUCCAUAAAUUAUUUUUCUUUUAAUUUCGGAUAUGAAAUGUAAAAUGCAUUAAAGAAAUAAAUUAUCAGUUAAAAAACGGGGGUCACCGAUCUUUUUAGGGAAUUGUGGCAUUAAAACGUGAAAUGCAAGUAAAUAAAUAUACUACAGACACAGAACCCUAGCUACACUUUUGUAUGCCUUUUUUGAAAACAUUGAAUUUAACGUAAUUCUUUGC